rnacentral:rRNA from 1 species
AGUGAACGCUGGCGGUAGGCCUAACACAUGCAAGUCGAGCGGCAGCACAGUAAGAGCUUGCUCUUACGGGUGGCGAGUGGCGGACGGGUGAGGAAUACAUCGGAAUCUACUUUUUCGUGGGGGAUAACGUAGGGAAACUUACGCUAAUACCGCAUACGACCUACGGGUGAAAGCAGGGGAUCUUCGGACCUUGCGCGAUUGAAUGAGCCGAUGUCGGAUUAGCUAGUUGGCGGGGUAAAGGCCCACCAAGGCGACGAUCCGUAGCUGGUCUGAGAGGAUGAUCAGCCACACUGGAACUGAGACACGGUCCAGACUCCUACGGGAGGCAGCAGUGGGGAAUAUUGGACAAUGGGCGCAAUCCUGAUCCAGCCAUACCGCGUGGGUGAAGAAGGCCUUCGGGUUGUAAAGCCCUUUUGUUGGGAAAGAAAAGCAGCAGGUUAAUACCCCGCUGUUCUGACGGUACCCAAAGAAUAAGCACCGGCUAACUUCGUG